GAGCCGAGCGGCUUUCUAUACGUGCAAGUUGACGGGAUUCAGUUGGAAGUAGCAAUAUGGAAGAGUGAUGAGAGUAGCGCUCGGGUGCGUAACACGUAUGCAACCUACCUUUAACCGGGACAUAACCACGAGAAAUUGUAGCUAAUAUCCCAUGUGAUUACGUUUUGGCAUCAAGAUGUAAUUAAAAUUCAGAUGGUUAAAGAUGGGCAUGCGUCCCAUUAGCUAGUUGGUGAGGUAACGGCUCACCAAGGCCACGAUGGGUAGGGGUUCUGAGAGGAUGAUCCCCCACACUGGUACUGAGACACGGACCAGACUCCUACGGGAGGCAGCAGUAAGGAAUAUUGGUCAAUGGACGCAAGUCUGAACCAGCCAUGCCGCGUGCAGGAAGACGGCCCUAUGGGUUGUAAACUGCUUUUGUACGGGAAGAACUACAUUUACGUGUAAAUGUUUGACGGUACCGUAAGAAUAAGGAUCGGCUAACUCCGUGCCAGCAGCCGCGGUAAUACGGAGGAUCCGAGCGUUAUCCGGAUUUAUUGGGUUUAAAGGGUGCGCAGGCGGGUAUAUAAGUCAGAGGUGAAAUUCUACGGCUCAACUGUAGAACUGCCUUUGAUACUGUAUAUCUAGAGUAUAUUUGGAGUGGGCGGAAUGUAGCAUGUAGCGGUGAAAUGCUUAGAUAUGCUACAGAACACCGAUCGUGAAGACAGCUCACUAAACUAUAACUGACGCUCAGGCACGAAAGCGUGGGGAGCAAACAGGAUUAGAUACCCUGGUAGUCCACGCCGUAAACGAUGAUUACUCGCUGUUGGCGAUACACAGUCAGCGGCUAAGCGAAAGUGAUAAGUAAUCCACCUGGGGAGUACGAUCGCAAGAUUGAAACUCAAAGGAAUUGACGGGGGCCCGCACAAGCGGAGGAGCAUGUGGUUUAAUUCGACGCAACGCGAGAACCUUACCUAGGCUUGACAUGUUGGAGAACGCCCUGGAACAGGGAACUCUUUGGACACUCCAUCACAGGUGGUGC
rnacentral:rRNA from 1 species